rnacentral:rRNA from 1 species
ACCCGCUGAACUUAAGCAUAUCAAUAAGCGGAGGAAAAGAAACUAACAAGGAUUCCCCUAGUAACGGCGAGUGAAGCGGGAAAAGCUCAAAUUUAAAAUCUGGGAGGGUUUCCCUCUCCGAAUUGUAGUUUAGAGAAGUGUUUUCGGAGGCACCUUGGGCAUAAGUCCUUUGGAAUAAGGCAUCAUAGAGGGUGAGAAUCCCGUUCAUGGCCCUGUGCGCUGCCUUCAUGUGGUACACUUUCGAAGAGUCGGGUUGUUUGGGAAUGCAGCCCAAAAUGGGUGGUAAAUCCCAUCUAAAGCUAAAUAUUGGCGAGAGACCGAUAGCGAACAAGUACCGUGAGGGAAAGAUGAAAAGAACUUUGAAAAGAGAGUUAAAUAGUACGUGAAAUUGCCAAAAGGGAAACGCUUGAAACCAGUACUGCCUGCAGAAAAUCAGCCAGUCAUGCCGAAUCACACGGUAGUUGGACCUUAUCAGCCAGCUGCCGUGCGCUGGAGGUUUUGGCUGGUGCACUUUUCUGUUGGCAAGUCAACAUCAGUUUCAUUUGCCGUAAAAAGAUGGCGGGAAGGUAAGUCGGGGAAACCUGGCUGUUAUAGCCCCCAUUUAUGCGGUGGAUGGGACUGAGGAACGCAGUGCAGGCCUUCAUGGCUGGGAAAGCCGUUCGCUGCCUGAAUCUUUUCUGUGGACAGCAUGCUGACUACAGAAAAGUAGUUUGGACACACGGGCGGUUCACCACAACUGCACUUAGGAUGUUGACGAAAUGGUUUU